rnacentral:rRNA from 1 species
CUCCUACGGGACGCAGCAGUGAGGAAUAUUGGUCAAUGGCCGAGAGGCUGAACCAGCCAAGUCGCGUGAGGGAAGAAUGUCCUAUGGAUUGUAAACCUCUUUUGUCAGGGAGCAAAGUCACCCACGUGUGGGUGUUGGAGAGUACCUGAAGAAAAAGCAUCGGCUAACUCCGUGCCAGCAGCCGCGGUAAUACGGAGGAUCCGAGCGUUAUCCGGAUUCAUUGGGUUUAAAGGGUGCGUAGGUUGUUUUAUAAGUUAGCGGUGGAAUACCGAUGCUCAACAUCGGGGCUGCCGCUGAUACUGUAG